UAUGUUUUUACAGUUAUGCUUACUAAUGCAGUUAGACUAAUAUUAGGCCUAAAAUUAUUGAUUCGAGGUGGAAUUGGACCACAAAUUUGGAAAUGCUGGCAUCGGGAUCUGCUGAAGGAAAUGCAGUUGACGAACAUUUAUUCUGUUAAGUAUGAAGUAUUAGAAAUUGUCGGGGUUUGAGAUUUGUCUUUGAAUGUAUUCAUUGGAAGCUGAAAACUGUUUAUGAAAUGAAUGUUGGACGUCCGUUACGUCUGAGUCAAACAUGUUAUGCCAUAAAUACGAGCAUAAGCGAAUAAGGUGAAAGCGAAUCUCACGAAUCAAGAGUUUGUUGAAUAAAAUGAUAAACGGGAAUAUCGGUCAGAGACUGAAGACUUAUUGAUCGAAAAUUAGGGGAUCCCCCAAUAGCAGUCUUACUUCAUAGUGACACCUUCUGUCCCAUCACUCACUGGCUGAGUAUUAGGAAUUAGGAUCUCUUCAUUCGAGGGGUUGUUCUCAGAACCAAUCAUUGACUGGGGUUCAGGGAUUGUUUGGGUAUCAUGAGCAGGCAUGUCUUUUACAGCGUCGUUUUGAGCCAACUCUGUCUCUUUAGGAUUCGUAAAACUCAAAUCUUCCUCAGCGGACGUGAGGUCGAUCGGCUCAUUUUGGAUAGAUUUUUUAGGAUUUUUUUAUCUCUAUUGCACAAGAUUCUGUCUCAGCUGACUCUGUUUCAUCAAGAAGAUUCCUUAGAGGAGAUCCACCCUGGUUCAUGACAGAACUACGCCCAAGUUUCAAGUGCAACCUCGCUGCUUUUUUUUGCCUCUUUCUUGGUUGACGCUUCAGUUCCAGAAAAUUUUUGAUUUUCAAGCUUGACAUCCAUUCUAAACCUUGUUUUAUGGUCUGGUCCACUCUUGAACUCAGUAUAAACCAGAGGUUGACUAUUUCCCUGGGCAAUUUCAUGUAACAAAGAUACUGCUUUUUUUCCUUCUGAGAAGUUCAACCUUGGUACAGGAGGAAACGACGGAACAGACACGGAAGACGAGGAAAAUUGUGCUUCAUCCAAUGUGAUAUCCGGAAUAAAGCCAUAGGAAAUAAAUGAUUUAAUAAUUAUUUCGAACAUGUUCAUCUCCGUAUGCUAAUUUUAGAACUUUUGCUUGUGGAGGUGAGAUAGCUCCGUCUACUCUUUUA